rnacentral:misc_RNA from 1 species
GAUGAAGAACGUAGCGAAGUGCGAUAAGUAAUGUGAAUUGCAAAUUCUGUGAAUCAUCGAAUCUUUGAACGCAAAUUGCACUCUCUUUGGAGAGUAUGCCUGUUUGAGGGUCAGUAUUAAUAAAAAUCGGUGUGUUGCUCUUUUGUGAUGCUCCGGAGUUUGGGUCAUCUUAUAACAAUACCUUUCAGGUGUUUUUAAGAGGCUUAAAAUUGACAUCUUUUUUGCGCAUUUUUUGACGUACAUAAAUUUUUUUAUUCGUUUAUUCUAAUGCCAAAAUCUAUUAGAUGCGACCAUAUCGUGUGGUUUCGUGUCUAUAAAUUUUUUCAUGAUUUGACCUCAAAUCAGGUAGGAACACCCGCUGAACUUAAGCAUAUCAAUAAGCGGAGGA